rnacentral:lncRNA from 1 species
AGUCAUUGCAUUAUACAUAUAGAAUCUAUAGGAAAAGGAACAUAAUUGCAGCUUUGGAGAUUAGGGUGGUAAAACAAGGAAGUUUUGAGGCACUAAUGGAUUACUAUGUGUCCAAAGGAACUUCAUUGAGCCAAUACAAAAAACCUAGUUGCAUUAAAUCUGAGGAAGCCUUGAAGAUAUUAGAUUCAAGAGUGAUAGGAAAGUAUUUCAGCCCCAAAUCACCGUUAUAAUUAGUUUGCAUCAGUUCUUGUUUAAGAUUACCUAAUCCUUCCUGUGUAUAAAAACUCAGGAGAAUAAUCCUUUUCACUUUAUUGUGUAGGCAUACAUUAAUGUUUGGUAAAGCUAUUAAUAUCUUGUUUCGAACUCAAAGGCAAGCUUACACACGUAUUCUCAUGUAAUUUUCUUAUGAACCGUUUGAUACAUUGUGGGAAAGUUGAUAUGGCAAUUUCAAAGGGCUUUAUAUGCAUGGAAGAACAUAUUUGGGAUAUUUCUUAACGUAGUGCCUGAAGCUCUCUAUAAGGUAGGUAAAGUGGAAGAAGUUGUAGAAUUGAUUGCUGAGAUAAAGGGUAAUUUGCCCCUGAUAUUAUUUACUUCACCACUUUAAUCAAUCAAGGUAUAGCUAAAGAUGCAUUGAACUUGUUCAAGUAGAUAAUGGAGAAUAGUUACAAGCCUUUGAUAUUGUUUCUUACUGUGUCUUUGUUAGGGGCUUAGCUAGAACUGCUCUUACAGAAGAGGUGAUCAAUCUUUGGGAUUAUGUAGAGACGCAAGGUUUGAAGUGUAACACUAUCAUGCACAACAUGGACAUUAAAGGUUUAUGUAAAAGUGGGAAGGUGAAGAAAGCUGAAGCCUUCUUACCAUGAAUUUUGAGGAUUAAUUGUUACACCUUAAAUCCGACUUGAAAAUUCAAUCAAAUUCGAAGCGUUACAAUAAUUAUUGGAAUGACCCACUCGAUCAAUCAUUCAAUUAAUGUGAUUAACCAAUUAAUUCAUUUUAACAAAUUUGAUUAUCAAAUUUAAAAUUAAAAAAAUCAAAUAAAUUAAUUGUUCAAUUCAAACACACAAGGAUCGCUUGCCUUAAACUAAAUAUUUAACCAAUAUAAAAAUAACCCACAAAUCGAAUGGACCUAAGUACAUGCUAAAGCUAAAUUAAGUGAAAACGUUGUCACAAACUAAAAAAUGCAAGUACUCUCUAGUGAUGCUAUUUGAUCUGGAACUUAUAAAUCAUCUAUAAUUGGUGUACGAAAUUAAAAACCCAAACGCUAAGAAAUUUACAGCUUAAUGAAGCUCUAAUACAUUUUAAACUACCUAUACUUAUAGUAAAAUAAAAACAUUCUAAUAAGAUAUAUAUAUCUAACUCUACUUGGAAUUAAAAACCAAAUAUAUCACAAGCAAUUAAACACCUAAAUUACUUAGCUGACCGAUAUCCAAUAUCGACAACUAUUUGAGUGAGCGAUCAGCGGCUAUUUUGACGAUUGACCAGCAAUAUUUUGGAGGAAAGCAAUGGGGUAAUAAACAAGGCUUUUGGAUAGAGAUUCGAUGGCAAUUUGAAAGCACUUUUCAGGGGCUAGCCAAAUUUUGCAUAAAUAAAAAUCCUAAUCUAAAAAUAAAACCUCAAUCUAAAUCUUGUAUAAAAAAAAUCUUAAUCUAAAAAAAACUACAAUCCCAACUUUUUAGGGUUAGCCACAAUUCUUUCAGGAAAAAAAAUUCCCUAAUUAAUUUGAUUGUAUAAUAUAAUAUUUUGGGAAUUUUACCAGCCAAAUAUACAUAUAUUUGGUAAGGGAGAAACAAAUCAAGUUUUCCAGCAAAACAUAUGUACAUUAAAAUAUUGUAUGUAAGCUAACACUGGGUUGCCGAUUGCAGGGUUGGUGUUAUUUUGGUGGCAAUUUUUUAUUUUCAUUUUCUUCACUUUUCCUUUUCCAUUUGAAAUACAUGCUACGAGUGAUUAAAAAAUUGUUUCUAAGAAUCCUGUGUGUUGGCCUAAUGGCAAUGAUGUUCAUCGCCCAGAUGUGAUUUAAGUUCAAGUCGUGUUGUUGUUAGGAUUUUGUCCUCCUCUUAUAAUCUAUCCAAAAAAAUAAAGUUAUUUCCAAUCAUUUUACAUUUUGGUUAAGCUAAUACUAAAAUUUUAUAUUAUGCUGAUUACUAAAAUUAAUCUUUUUUUUAUUGAAUUAUAUUCAUAAUUUACAAACGUAACUUAAAUUUUAAUUAAUAAAUUAGAGAAUGAAUUAAGUUUAUGAAUUAAUAAUACAAAUUCUAUAUUUUAUUAUUGUAAAUUAUUAAAAAUGAAAUAAAGGUAUAAAAAAUUAUAUUUUUACCAAAAAUUAAUCCCUUAUUUUAUACCUAACUAAAAUGAAAAAAAAAAUAUAUUUGCUUGUUUAAAAAACAAAUGUAAAUUAAAAUAAUAUUUAUUUGAUCGUAUUUAUUAAUUAAUAUAAUUUAUUAUUAAAACUUAAUUCUAAAAAUGACAGUGACUUUAAAUAUAAUUAAAAGAAAAGGAAGUAUUUUGAGUUUUUGAUUAGCUCUUUUAGUUUUAAAAUACUCUCUUUUUUUUAAAUUAAAUUAUUAUACCUGCCUAGUUUUGGACACGAGUCAGUAUUACAAAUCAUUUGAGAAGUUAGUUCUCUAUUUUAUGUUAUAGUUAUCGAAUGACCCACAUCUAAGAAGGCAUGCCUUCAUUCAUCCCUCCAAUCUUUUCAUAAGGGUUCUGGCCUCUUAAAAAUAAGUCGUUCACCGUUGUAAAUGAAUUACUCUCUCCCUUCAAAAAGAUAUUGCCCAUCCAUAUUUUUGAAUAGGCCAUCCUACAUAUUAAUGAAUACAAACAUUCUAAGUGUUGAUCAGGAAAAAACAAGCGAAACAGACCUUUUCAAGGCCGUGACAGAAGCAAAGGCUCUUCUCGAUCCACUCGGAUUCAUCUUGACAGAGUACACUAGCUAUGUUGAUACUUCAUCAGCACCAGGUCACUAUGUAUUAUUUUGGGAGAUCAAGGGAAAAGAAGGCAAGAAUUGCAAAGAACUUGACCCAAAGAUAAUGGUAGAGUGUUGCUCUAGAAUGGAAGAGUCAUUGCAUUAUACAUAUAAAAUCUAUAGGAAAAGGAACAUAAUUGCAGCUUUGGAGAUUAGGGUGGUAAAGCAAGGAAGUUUUGAGGCACUAAUGGAUUACUAUGUGUCCAAAGGAACUUCAUUGAGCCAAUACAAAAAACCUAGUUGCAUUAAAUCUGAGGAAGCCUUGAAGAUAUUAGAUUCAAGAGUGAUAGGAAAGUAUUUCAGCCCCAAAUCACCGUUAUAAUUAGUUUGCAUCAGUUCUUGUUUAAGAUUACCUAAUCCUUCCUAUGUAUAAAAACUCAAGAGAAUAAUCCUUUUCACUUUAUUGUGUAGGCAUACAUUAAUGUUUGGUAAAGCUAUUAAUAUCUUGUUUCGAACUCAAAGGCAAGCUUACACACGUAUUCUCAUGUAAUUUUCUUAUGAACCGUUUGAUACAUUGUGGGAAAGUUGAUAUGGCAAUAUCAAAGGGCUUUAUAUGCAUGGAAGAACAUAUUUGGGAUAUUUCUUAACGUAGUGCCUUAUGCUCUCUAUAAGGUAGGUAAAGUGGAAGAAGUUGUAGAAUUGAUUCAUGAGAUGAAGGGUAAUUUCCCCCUGAUAUUAUUUACUACACCACUUUAAUCAAUGGAUAUUGUCUUCAAGGUAUAGCUAAAGAUGCAUUGAACUUGUUCAAGGGGAUAAUGGAGAAAAGUCACAAGCCUUUGAUAUUGUUUCUUACGGUGUCUGUGUUAGGGGCUUAGCUAGAACUGCUCUUACAGAAGAGGUGAUCAAUCUCUGGGAUUAUGUAGAGACGCAAGGUUUGAAGUGUAACACUAUCAUGCACAACAUGGUCAUUAAAGGUUUAUAUAAAAGUGGGAAGGUAAAGGAAGCUGAAGCCUUCUUACAUACGAUCAAUUUUGAGGAUUAAUUGUUACACCUUAAACCUGACUUAAGAGUCCAGUCAAAUUUGGAAUAUUACAAUGGUUAUCGGAGUGACCCACUCGAUCAAUCAUUUAAUUAAUGCGAUUAACCAAUUAAUUUAUUUUAACAAAUUUGAUUAUCAAAUUUAAAAUUAAAAACUCAAAUAAAUUAAUCAUUCAAUUCAAACAAGGAUCGCUUGCCUUAAACUAAAUAUUUAACCAAUAUAAAAUUAACCCACAAAUCCGAUGGACCUAAGUACAUGCCAAAGCUGAACUAAGUGAAAACGUCAUCACAAACUAAGUACCGCGCGGACUCUUUGGUAAUACUGUUUGAUUUGCAACUUACGAAUCAUAUAUAAUUAGUGUAUAGAAUUAAAAAUCCAAACACUAAACAGUUUACAACUUAAUGGUAAUCUAAUACAUUUUAAACUACCAUAUAUAUAUAUAAAUAUAUAUAUAUCUAACUCUACUUUGGAAUUAAAAACCAAAUAUAUCACAAGAAAUUAAACACCUAAAUUAACUUAGCUAACCGAUAUCCAAUAUCGGCAACUAUUUAAGUGAGUGAUCAGCGGCUAUUUUGACGAUUGACCAGCAAUAUUUUAGAGGAAAGCAAUAGGGUAAUAAACAAGGCUAUUGGAUGGAGAUUCGAUGGCAAUUUAGAGGCAGUUUUUAGGGGUUAGCCAAAUCUUGCAUAAAUAAAAAUCCUAAUCUAAAAAUAAAACCUAAAUCUAAAUCUUGCAUUAAAAAAUCCUAAUCUAAAAAAAACUACAAUCUCAAUUUUUUAGGGUUAGCCAAAAAAAAAAUUUCCCUAAUUUGAUUGUAUAAUAUAAUAUUUUGGGAAGUUUAGCAGUCAAAUAUACAUAUAUUUGGUAAGGGAGAAACAAAGCAAGUUUUCCAGCAAAACAUAUGUAUAUUAAAAUAUGGGUAAAUUACACCAACAGUCACUCAACUUUGAGGUAGCUGACAAAACAGUCACCUAGGUUUCAUUUCAGUCACUCAACUUUCGAGAAGCUACAAAACAGUCACUAACGUUAUGAAAAAGUGACAAAAUAGUUACUGAUUAGCAGUUUCUGUUAGGGGGUUAACGGGAGCGCUGACGUGGCAAGUUAACUAGCUGACGUGACCAAUUAACUUCCCACGUAGGACGAAUAGUCAAAGGGUCAGAAUGAUUUUCUUCUUUUUCUUCUCAUCUUUCUCUUCAUUUUCUUCUCUCUCAACCUCUUUCUCUUUAUGCUUCUUUUAUUUUUUCUUGUUCUUCUCUUCUUUCUCUUCAUCUUCUUUCUCCCACAACAAAACAAUGGCUACAAAUCAGGAGCCACAACAACAGUUGCCUAAAAAUUUCCAAUCGUUGAUGCUCACAAAAAACCUGAGGAAAAGAAGCAGAGGAAGAAAAAGAUGAUGAAGCAGUAGAAGAAGGAGCUACAAAUGAAGAAGGAAAAGGUGACAAAGAAGAAGAUAGGAAUGGGUGUUGAAAGUUAGGUAACUGAGACGAUUGCAUCAUCUGUUCCAUCAAGCUCGUAGCUUCUUGUCCAUGGAAAUCAGUAGAACUCUGUAGCAACUGAGAGUACUGCCAGUAAUCUCUCAGCAUAUCAACUAUAGGGCUGUGAAGAUGUUAGGACUAGUAAAGCGAUGGCAAUAGCGUUGAAUAAUGUGGCCAAAACUUGGUUGUUAGAGAACUAGAAACUGAUGUUUGGGUAGUGGGAAAGUUCUACAUUGGUUGAGGAACAAGCCUUACAAGUUCAGGAAAAUUUAACUUGGCCCUGCUUCCAUUGAAUUUCAAAGCAGCUUCAUCAUAGGCUCUUGCGGCAGCUUUCGCAGUAUCAAAGGUGCCUAGCCAAACUCUUGCUGCUUUGUGAGGAUCACCUAUUUCGGCCGCCCAUUCCCCCAUGGCCUUUGCAUAAUGCCCUUAUAUCUUCUUCUUCACUCGUUGGUUUCUUCACAGGCAGCUGCUGUUACUGUUUCUGCUGCUAGUGCAAAAUUAAGUCUUUUCUAGAUUAUGUUAUCUUAUGUAAUCAUAUGUAAGGAAAGGAAAACAGUAGCGGAAUCCCCUAGAGUUUUCAUUGAAAGUGAAAAGAGAAAGAAAAGAAAGAGUUUAGGAAGAAGAAAAAAAAUGGAGGAAAAGUGAUAUUUAUUGAUAGGAAUAUAUAUACAUAACAGAAGUUGCAGCAGAGAAUGAAUCGGCGUGAGAGCCUCUAAAAUCAGCAAAACUUCUUUGAACCCUUGGUGCAGCAGACUAAACCAAUUGAGCACUAGUCUCAUCUCCUUCCAUUUUCUCUUAAUUCUUCUUCUCCUCCUCUUCUUUUUCUUCUCUAUUUCUUUUCUUUUUCUUUUUUUUUCUUUUUUUCUUCUACUGUCCAGGGCUAUUUAGGGUUAAAAAGGACUGUUAAAAUGAUAGCUAACCCACCGUUAAAUGCCAUGUCAUCUUUCCGUCACGUUUGUAACAGAAAAUGGUUAAAAGGACUGUUUUGUAACUUUUUGAAAGUUGAGUGAUUGAAAUGAAACCUAGGUGACUGUGUAACACCCCCUAAUCCCAAAACGUCGCUGAAAUAGGGUUACGAGGCAUUACCGAACAUAUUGGUUAAUUUACAAACAAUUUCAUGAAUAAACAAUAAAUAUAUUAAAAUUAAAUCAUUAAGUCUCUUUUAUGAACCCUCGAGGCCUAAAUCACGUAUUAUAAAUGAAUAGGGACUUAUUCAAGUACUCCGAAAAUUUUUUCGUAAUAUAAUAAUAAUAAUUAUUUUUUAAAAAAAAAUUCAAUAUAACCCCUUUAGAAAUAUCUAACCUUCCCUGCAAUUUCAAAUUUGCAACCAACUCAACAUAACAACAACUUAACAAAUACAAUCUUCAUCCAAAUCACAUUCGUCUUAUAACAAUAUCACUAAUCCUUAUUUUAUCUAACAUUAUAUCCAUUCAUACUUUCAAGUAGUAUUUAAACAUCUUAAUUAAUUUCCAUUCAUAUCAUAUAUCAACUUAUAUUAACUUAACUAAUAUAUUCAUGAGUUGAUACAAAACAUAGUCACAUCAGCUCCUAUACAUGCCAUAUAAACCAUUUAAAGUAUUUAUAACAAAAUCUACCAGAAAAUCGAGAUAGUGUGACUUGAGCGUGAUGAUUCGAUCCUCUGACCCUCCCGUUAAUCUACAAAGAGCAAUAAACAUUACAAGUAAGCUAACUAUAGCUUAGUAAGUUCGUUGGCUUAAACCAUAAACCUCACCAAUAUUAGUUUCAAAAAUUCAAAUCAUAUGGACAUUUCAAGUAAGUUACUUUCAUCCUGUAAAUCAUAAUCUCAUUUUAAAAAUAAUUUACUUAAUUGAGCUCAAAAAUAAUGAUAACAUUAUUUACAUUUCUUUUUCCACACGUUACAAUUACGACUUACUGACUUGUCAAUUUAAGGAACGACUUACGGAUUUGAGAUCGUGAUCUGAAACCCGAAAUCUAACUGAAGCAUAUAAGUGCUAAACGGAAGCCCGAAGGCUAACUGAAGCACAUAAGUGCUAAACGGAAGCUCAAAGGCUAACUGAAGCUCAUCAGAGCUGAACUGAAACCCCAAAAGGGUUAACUGAAACUUAUAUGAGUUAACGGAAGCUCGUAAGAGCUAAAUAGAUAGCAAACAUGAGAGUUCGCAACAAAUGCUGAAUCUCGAUUUACUUGGGUAAUUUACCGUCAAUUCAUCUUUUUCACCGAACGAUCGUACUCAUUUCCUGCGUUCCGUUCCUCCGAAAUACUCAGUUCAAUUUCGUAACUUUUGUACAUGAUUUAAUUAUUUUAAACAAUUAACAUACAUAAAUAUUAAUCACCAUUCAUAAAAUAACAUUGAAAUUUAAUAAUUUAACCGUACGAACUUACCCGGAACAAUUUGCAGUAGUUGUAGAGAUUUCUUGAACUAUUCCGGAAUUUUCUCUUUUCCUCGUUUAUCCUCAAUUUCUUGAUCUAUAAUAUAAAAUUUUCACUUAUCAGUAUUGACUUCACAUUCAUUCUAUUUCACAUCCUUAAUGUUUAUAACCCGCUUACAAGUAACAUUAUCUGAAAUUUUACUAUUUACCUAUGUAUAUUCAAUGCUGUCCAUCCAUGUCAUAGUCACUAAAUUAUUUUUAUCUUGAGCUACAGAACUCAAAAUUAGGAUCAGAUAAUUUUUACUGAAACUAGACUCACAUAUCUUCUUAUCAUAAAAUUUUAAGAAUUUUUGGUUUAGCCAAUAAUUACAGUUUAUUCUUUAAAGUCACCCCUGUUCUGCUGUCUAACAGUUCUAACCCUUCUUCACUUAAAACUAAUUAUCUCUUCAUACAGAAUUCGGAUGAUAUUUCUGUUUGUUUUGUUUGAAAAUAGACUCAUUCAGGAUUCUGGACAUAUAAAUUUAAGUCCAUAAUUAUUUUUAUUCAAAUUUUUAUAAUUUUUCAAAGUCAGAACAGGGGAACUCGAAUUCAUUCUGACCUUGUCUCACAAAAUUCAUUAUAUCUCAUGAUUUACAAAUUCUUUGCUUACACUGUUUCUUCUAUGAGAAACUAGACUUAAUAAGCUUUAAUUUCAUAUUUUUUUCAUUUUUUAAUUCGAUUCCUACAAUUUAUGGUGAUUUUUCAAAUUUAGUCUACUGCUGUUGUCCAAACUGUUUUAGUGCAAGCUGUUCAUUACCAUUUUCCCCCUAAGCUUUUAAUAAAUAACAAUUUCGUCCCUACUCAAUUAGCCUCUCAAUUGAGCUGAUUUUUCUCAAUUAACACUUUAUUCUAUCACCUUUAACUAGUUUACAACCUUUAGGAAUCAAAAUUUCAGAAAUAGACUUUAAUUCCAAUCAUUUUCACAAUUAGGUCCUAAAAAUCAAUUUCUAUUGAAAUUACCUAAUAGAAUCAUCUCAUAAACAAAUUAAUGCUUUAAUUUCAAUCUAUUUCAUCAUAAAAUUACAGCACUCAACCAUGGUGACUUUCAAUUUCAUCCAUGAAAUCAAAAACUAAUGAAUUUAAUAGUAGGACCUAGUUGUAAAAGUCUUAGAAACACAAAAAUUACAAGAAAAAGGCAAGGAUUAACUCACUUGGUUCAAAAAUUAUGAAAUACCAGCUUAUAGAACCCUCCUAUGGCGUUUUUAGCUGCUGGAAUUGAAGAGAAAUGAAGAGAAAUCUAGAUAUUUCCUAUUUAGUCCUAGCUUUAUUUAGUUAAUUUUGCAAUAUUCCAAUUUUGCCCUUAAUUCAUCAAUUUUCCUGCUGAUUUCAAACCCCUUGCCGUGCAGCCCAAAUAGACCCGGGUCUAUUUCCCUUUUAAACCCUCUUUCUUUUAUCACUUAAGCAUUUAAUCAUUCUUCAUAAUUUUACAUUUGUUACAAUUUAGUCCUUUUUAUUCAAUUAACCAUCGAAACUUUAAAAUUUCUUGACGAAACUUUAAUACUAACUUAUUAACACUCCAUAAAUAUUUAUAAAAAUAUUUAUGGCUCGUUUUAAAAAUUUCAAACUCGAUACCUCAUUUUCGAUUCUAAAUUUUUUUAAAUAUUUUUUUCUAGUACACUAUUCGCUAUUUCAAAAAUUUUCCUAACUUCACAUUUAACUUAUAUUCACUAAAUUAUUAAUAUUUUUCUACUCAUUUGUCGGAUUUAGUGAUCUCGAAUCACUGUUCCGACACCACUGAAAAUUUAAGCUAUUACAGACUGUUUUGUCAGCUACCCCAAAGUUGAGUGACUGUUUGUGCAAUAUACCUUUAAAAUAUUGCAUGUAAGCUAACAUUGGGUUGCCUAUUGCAGGGUUGGUGUUAUUUUGGUGGGAAUUUUUUAUUUUCAUUUUCUUCUCUUUUCCUUUUCCAUUUGAAAUAUAUGCUACGAGUGAUUAAAAAAUUGUUUUUAAAAAUCAAAAUCCUGUGUGUUGGCCUAAUGACAAUUAUGCUCAUCACCCCAUAUGUGAUUUAAGUUCAAAUCGCGUUGCGGUUAGGGUUUUCUCCUCCUCUUAUAAUCCAUCCAAGAAAAUAAAGUUAUUUCCAAUCAUUUUACAUUUUGGUUAAGCUAAUACUAAAUUUUUAUAUUAUGCUAAUUACUAAAAUUAAUCUUUUUUAUUUUUUAUUGAAUUAUAUUCAUAAUUUACAAACGUAACAUAAAUUUUAAUUAAUAAAUUAGAGAAUGAAUUAAGUUUAUGAAUUAAUAAUACAAAAUUAUAUAUUUUAUUAUUGUAAAUUAUUAAAAAUUAAAUAAAGGUAAAAAAAUUAUAUUUUUACCAAAAAUUAAUCCCUUAUUUUAUUCCUAACUAAAAUGAGAAAAAAUAAUAUAUUUGCUUAUUUAAAAAACAAAUGUAAAUUAAAAUAAUAUUUAUUUGAUUGUAUUUAUUAAUUAAUAUAAUUUAUUAUUAAAACCUAAUUCUAAAAAUGACAGUCACUUUAAAUAUAAUAAAAAGAAAAGGAAGAAUUUUGAAUUUUUGAUUAGCUCUUUUAGUUUUAAAAUACUCCAUUUUUUUUAAAAUUAAGUUUAUUAUACCUGUCUAGCUUUGGACACGAGUCAGUAUUGCAAAUCAUUUGAGAAGGUAGUUCUCUAUUUUCUGUUAUCUGGGUAGUUAUCGAAUGACCCACAUCUCGGAAGGGUUCUAGCCUCUUGAGAAUAAGUCGUUUACUGUUGUAAACGAAUUACUCGCCCCCUUCAAAAAGGUAUUGUUUUUACAUUUUUUGUGAAUAGCCCAUCCUACAUAUAAAUGAAUACAAACAUUCUCUUAUAAAUAUAAUUAUAUUUAUUUUAAUCUUAAUAAAGCAUGUCUCGCAUUCAUUAUCAACAAAGGGCACCUUAACCAAUAUAUAUUAAAAAAUAUUAUUUUAAAAGUAAUCAAGAUUGAAUCUUCAACAAAAUAAGAUAUAAUGAUGACAUGAAAUUAUAAAAAUCAUAUCAACUAAACCUCUUUCGGCCUACAAUUAUGUGUUACAUUGGCUUUUGAAAAUUGGAAGAGGCAUAAAUUGGUACUCAAUUACAUUAAAAUUCAACUUUCUCAUGCUUAGUUUUAAUAUAUUUAAUAUAUUACUGAAUCAUGUUUAAUCAUUUCAUUGAUGCCACAAUGUUUAUCAUGUGUGUCGACAUGUGUGGGUCUAGUCCAAUGAAUCUUAUUAUAUUUAGCAUAGGUAGAGAUUCCAUUGCCAAUAGCUAGAACAUCCCCAAAAAGAAAACAGAAAAAGCUGUCUGGAUCUCAGUAAUAGUGUAACACCCCCUAACCCCAAGCCGUUAUCGGAAUAGGGCUACGAGGCAUUACCGGACUUAUACACUAACAUUUAUACAAAACCGAGUCAUAACUUUACAUUUCAGAUCAAUUCUUAUCAAAUUUUAUCUUAAAGCCCUUAAUAUGGGCCUACGAGGCCUUAUAUAUGUUUUAGAAGUGAUUUAAGACUAAACCGGGAACUUUGGAAAAUUUUCCUUGAAGAUAGGGGCACAUGCCCGUGUGGCUUGGGACACGCCCGUGUGGCCUGCUCAUGUGCAGAUUCUGACUUUUCCACACGUCCUGGAAUAUCAUUCUUUAAAGCUAUUUUAAACAUGAUUUUUGACCAUUUUAAAGCUAUUUUCACAUACUAAACACUCCCUAUUCAUGCCCAAAACAUUUACUUAUGUAUCUUAAUCAAAUAUCAUUCUUUUUAUCCAUUUCUUGUACCUAAAUACAAUUAUACACUAAUAGAAUCCAACCAAUCAAUUAUCUCAAACCAAAACAUGUAUAUUUCAUUUUCCAAUCACAAAACAUCACAUUCAACGUAGUUUGCAUACUUAAUUAUUCAUUUAAUUACAUUACUAAAUCAAAUCCUAUACAUGCCAUAUAAACCAAAAAUUUAUUUAACAAAAUCUACCGGAUUAAAUCUGGAUAGUGUGAUCCUUGUUGUAGAUCCGAUCCUCCGUAUGUAUAUAAGUCAAUCUACAAAACAAAUGACAUACACAAGUAAGCUUAUAGAAGCUUAGUAAGCUCAUAGGCAUAAGAACACAAAUCUUACCGAAUACUGUACAAAAUCAUAUAUCUAUUAGUUAAACUAAUUCAUCCUGUAAAUCACAACUUCAUUAAUAAACUCAUUUGAAUAACUUUCAUGAUGUAAUUCACGAACUUAAUUCUUUUGUGCCCAUUUCUUAUUUAUUUCAAUUGUCAAAUUAGGGAACAAUAAUGGGAUUGAGUGCUUCAUUAUCACAUUGCCAUAGUAAACUAUGGACUUUCACAUUAUCACACAUCACACACCGAAGCCAUAGCCCUGCCAUGGUCUUACACGGAUCACAUAUCAUACCGAUGCCAUAUCCCAAAUAUGGUCUUAUACGGAAUCACAUUAUCACAUCACACCGAUGCCAUAGCUCAACUAUGGUCUUAUACGGGAACGCGAAUCACAUUGUACCAAUGCCAUAGCCCAGCUAUGGUCUUAUACGGAAGCAUAUAUCACAUCUUUUCCAUCAAUUCAUUAUGGUCAUAAAAUGAAAGCACUCAAACCAUUGUUCCAACGAAUUUGUUCUUUUAGUUACACAUUAUUCAUUAGUUAAUACAAUUUAAUAAUAUUCAUCUACAAUAAAAUACUUUAACAAUCAUAAGAUUUUCAUAUCAAACAUUGAACUUUUCCAUAUGAACUUACCUGGGCUAAUUUGCAAAAGUCGUAGAAUUUUUAGGGACUAUUCUUGAAUUUUCUCUUUUUCACGGUUCACUUUGUUUUCUUGAUCUAUAAUUAUAAAACCAUUCCUUCAUUAGCAUCUAUUUCAAUUCUAUUCUAUUUCACAAUUUAUACCCUUAAAUUUUCAAAAUUACACAAUUACCCUAAACUUUUCAAUUUUUACAAUUUAGUCCCUAUUCAAUUUAUUCAUCAAUCAAACUAAUUCCUUUCAAAUAUCAUUUAUCUAAACAUUACAAACUACUUCACAGCCUUUGACAUGCCAAGCUUCAACACAAAACCCCAAUUCCAACAACUUUCACAAUUAAGUCCUAAAAUAAAUUUCUAUGCAAAUCUCUUCAUAAAAUCAUCAUAUAAUGAAUAAAACCUUAAUUACAUGAUAAAUCAUCAUAAACUUUCAGCACUUAUUCAUGGAAACUUUCAAAAUUACCCAUGAAUUCAAAAACUAAUGAAUUAAACAAGUGGACCUAGUUGUAAAAGUCUCAAAAACACAAAAUUUACAAGAAAUAAUCAAGAAUUGAGCUUCCAUGUAGUAAAAAUAUGAGAGACCAGAUUAAAUGAACCCUUCAAUGGUGUUUUUGCUGGAGAAGAUAAAGAAAAAUGAAGAAAACUCUAGAUUUUACCUAAUAUAUCAUAUUUUACAAUUUAAUUUUUUACCCUAUUUCUAAUUUUACCCCUUAUUCACACUUGAUUUUUAUUUUUCUUACACACUCAUACGUCCAGCCCAAAAAUAGGUGUUUAAUUGCGUAUUUAGUCCUCCUUUAAUUAUUACUAGAGCUGUUUAAUCACAUUUCACAAUUUUGCACUUAAUUCAAUUUAGUCUUUUUUACUCAAUUGACUACCGAAACCUGAAAAUUUCUUAACGAAACUUUAAUACUAACUUACUAACACUCCAUAAAUAUUUAUGGCUCAUUUUAUGAAUUUGAGGUCUCGAUACCUCAUUUUUAUCUUAUUUAAUCUACAAAUUUCUUUUAAUUCAUAAUUUCACUAAUUUGAAAUCAUUUCUAAAACCACACUUAACUUUUACUUACUAUUAUCUAAACUCACAUGUCAGAUUUAGUGAUCUCAAAUCACUAUUCCGACACCACUGAAAUUUGGGUCGUUACAAAUAAGGUUGAUGGCAACGAAUGGGUAUGAAUGUGGGUUGAAGUUGAUUAAGGAACUGACCACAAAUACUGAGCAAAUUCAAGACGAGGUAUUGAGGGAAAUACUAAGUCAAAAUGCAGGAACAGAGUAUUUAAGGGGAUUCCUCCAUGGUCAAAUCGAGAAGCAGCUCUCUAAGAAAAAUGUUCCCGUAGUUACGUAUGAAGAUCUCAAGCCUUACAUAGAUAGGAUUGCUAAUAGAGAGACAUCAGAAAUCCUUUUAGCUAAACCCGUUACAAGGUUCUAUCUAAGGCAUGCAUGAAUUUAUUGCUUUGCUUUUGUGUGUUUUAGGGUAUUGGUUGCUUCCUUCUAAUUGCUCUAUUAUCUUUUGGAUCAAAUGCAGCUCUGAGACUUCAGGUGGGCAGCCAAAGCUGAUACUUGUCACUGCUAAAUAUCAGAAGAAUGGGGCAUUGUAUGGUACCUUGAACCAGUCUCCGACGAUGAGGUAUGGACUCAUACCAAUUUCUUUGUUUCAGUUUUUCAUUCAGCUGCAUGUGAAAUCAAACUUUUUACUCAUUGUUCAAUCAGGGAUAAAAAUCCCCUACCUAGUGUUGCUAUUAACAAUAAAUUACGGUUUACUUCUCCGAUUAAAUAAAAAGAUAGAGGUAAACUACGUAGAUACUCAUCCAACAUUUUCAUUUUAAGCACCUAAAAUAAAAUAAAAAAUUGUAAGUUAAGCAACCACAUUACAUAGUUGGAUCAUUUUGGCCACUCCUGUUAAAAUCACAAAUUUUAACGUGGUUGUUAGGAUCGACCUGAUUAAGCUACAAGAAAAAAAUUAGCAGAAUAAAUUGAGAAAUUGAGCACACAAAUUUAACGUGGAAAAACCCCUCCAAAGAGGAUAUACGAGUAAAAAUAAUUUUACUAUAAUGGCUAAAGAACAAAUAUCUAGUGGGUGUAUUUUCUAAGAUUGUAAAAGAGCCUAUUUAUAAGUUAAAUUUAUAGGUCAAAUAAUAAUAAAAUAAUCUAAACUAAUUAGUGUUUGAUUGAAACAAAUAAACAGAGUUUAACUAGAAGAUUAUUUCUCAAAUUUGACUGAAAUAUGAGUCAUACUUAACAAAUCUCCACCUUGACUCAUAUUUCCACAACGCCAUCUUUUUCAAAACUUGCCACGAGCCUAUCUUGAACCAUGCAGGGAAUUAACUGAGUCGAAUCCGUGCUUAGAUACUGGAAGAUUUCUAGCCUUCGACUUGUACACUGCCAAAUCAAAACUAACCCGUGUUUGACUUUCACGAACACAGUGCCCUAACUUUUCAAAACCUUUAUCCAAAGGAGAAACUCUCUUCAAUGAAACAGUCAUACCUUUUUCCCUCUUAUGACGAAGCUGCCUCCGCUCCAAACGAGUUGACUUCGACUCUAUAAUAGACGAUGGACGUUUGAUUUCACCGAUCACUGCAGAACCUUCCAGAAUAUAAAGACUGCCAGUUCUUUUACCUUUUAACAAAACGAGAGCUCCAUGAGAUACUUUAAUACCGCUCGACUCAAUGUUGAUUUUGUAUCAUUUCAAGUUUAAAAUACUUAAUGAGAUGAGAUUCUUUCGUAAAUCAGGUACAUAUCUAACAUCUAAGAGUGUCCUAAUCGUCCUAUCGUGUUUCUUAAUUUUAAGAGUACCAAUAUCAAUUACCUUACUAGAUGAAUCGUUUCCCAUGCACACAACUCCACAUUCAACCGAACUGUCUUCAGAGAACCAUUUUCUAUUGGGACACAUAUGGAAAGAACAUCUCGAAUCUAGGAUCCACUCAGACGUGAGCUUAGAGUUAUCGCUUGUUAAAACUAAGCUUUACACAAGCCCCAUUGAGACCAACUUUUGCCCAGACCCCAACCAGGGCUUAUACUGUCAAUUACUUUUUGGUUUAAUCCAACGAGACGAGGUUGUCAAGGUUGGUUCACUCUUUGCAUCUGUGUUGCUAAGAGGUAUCAAGUUUCUAGAAAAUCACUGGCAAAAGCUAUGCUAUGACAUAAAAACAGGUCGAUUAAGCGAUUGGAUCACCGACUCAGGAUGUAGAGAUGCAGCAUCAUUGGUCAUGAAGCCUAACCCAGAACAGGCUGACUUGAUAGAGAACAUAUGUAAUUGUAAAUCAUAGGAAGGAAUAGUCAGAAAGCUAUGGCCCAAAGCAAGGUAUAUUUAUUGUGUUUGUACUGGCAUUAUGAGACAGUAUAUUGCAGAACUUGAGUUCUAUUGCAGAGGGAUCCCUUUAGUUUCAACUUCUUAUGCUUGCUCGGAAGCUAUUUGUGUGAUUAACUUAGAACCUCUAUGUAAACCUUGUGAUGUCUCCUACACAUUUCUCCCUAACAUAGAUACUGAACUUGUUGAUCUUGUAAAUGUGAAGGUUGGUCAAUGUUAUGAACUUGUUGUCUCAACUUGUGCAGGUAAAAGUUCCUCCUUUGAAUUUAAUCAAUUAAUCAAAUUCCAUUUUCUAAUUUUGCAUUAUGCUUCCUAGUUCCUGCGUUAACCUGUUAGCUAAUGAUCUAACCUAGUUUAAUGGUAUUCCUUUCAAGAUUAUAUCAAUAUAAAGUUGGGGAUGUUCUUAUGGUGAGUGGUUUCUAUAAUAAUGCACCUCAAUUCCAAUUUGUGGAGAGGAAAAAUGUUAUCCUAAGUGUUGAUCAGGAAAAAACAAGUGAAACAGACCUUUUCAAGGCUAUAACAGAAGCAAAGGCUCUUCUCGAUCCACUGGGAUUCAUCUUGACAGAGUACACUAGCUAUGUUGAUACUUCAUCAGCACCAGGUCACUAUGUAUGAUUUAAGGAGAUCAAGGGAAAAGAAGGCAAGAAUUGCAAAGAACUUGACCCAAAGAUAAUGGUAGAGUGUUGCUCUAGAAUGGAAGAGUCAUUGCAUUAUACAUAUAAAAUCUAUAGGAAAGUGGAACAUAAUUGCAGCUUUGGAGAUUAGGGUGGUAAAGCAAGGAAGUUUUGAGGUACUAAUGGAUUACUAUGUGUCUAAAGGAACUUCAUUGAGCCAAUACAAAAAACCUAGUUGCAUUAAAUCUGAGGAAGCCUUGAAAAUAUUAGAUUCAAGAGUGAUAGGAAAGUAUUUCAGCCACAAAUCACCGUUAUAAUUAGUUUGCAUCAGUUCUUGUUUAAGAUUACCUAAUCCUUCCUAUGUAUAAAAACUCAGGAGAAUAAUCCUUUUCACUUUAUUGUGUAGGCAUACAUUAAUGUUUGGUAAAG